UUCAAGUUGGUAACAUUUACAAGUGGGGUCAUGUUGUGGAGAUUACCGAGAACAAGAAUAGAGCUGGAUUGGGAUUUCAACUAGGGCCAUUCAGUGCCAGAGCCAAAGUUAUGCAACCAAUUUUCUGCAGUGGAGGGUUCAUUAGUGAGAAUGAUCAACACUUAGCCGCCAUUAUUGAAGACAGUGGUGAUGAAGACGAAGCUUGCGCCAACUUUGUGACGCAUGGCCAGACUUGCAACAACUGGAUUGUUGUUGAUGUUCCUGUUUUCAUUCAUCGUUCUAAGUAAUUUGUUUUAUUUAUUUUAAGAAAAUCCUUCUCUUAUGCCUAAGGGAGAAGUGAACAUUGUUGGGCAUUUUAUUAUUAUCAUCAAUAAAAUACGAUUUUAUUCAUCCACAUCUAUGAUGUUUUAUAUUUUCUUUUUGCUUUUUGCUUUUUCUGAAAAUGGUAAUCACAAAAAACAUAACAAAUAGUAAUCUUCCAUCUGCAUAAUAUUUGUUCACACUCCACUUCUCUAAAAUCAAAAUAUCAAAUGAUUAUGCAGGUUGGUUCUCAAACCCAUUGAAUACAAUGAUCCUACUCCCUCUCCAAACUUUGAUUUCCAUGUGUUUGAAGCUAAGGAAGAAAGUGAUGAUGAAGAAAUAUCUGAUGAAUUAUCUCGUUUGCUUAAGCACGAGGAAAAAGUCGUUCAGCCAUUUAAAGAACAAAUUAGUCAACUUGGGUUCCGAGGACGAUGUGAAAGAAGUCAAUAUUGGGUCUCAACUUUGUCUAGAAGCUAAGAAGGGGUUGAUUGAUCUUCUUCGAGAUUAUUCUGAUGUGUUUGCUUGGUCCUAUCAAGACAUGCCAGGGUUGGAUUCUGAGAUUGUGGAGAAUAGAUUGCCGUUGAAGCCAGAAUGUCCGCCAGUCAAGCAGAAGUUAAGAAGAACUCAUCCUGAUAUAGCAGUUAAGAUCAAAGAGGAAGUGCAGAAGCAGAUUGAUGCUGGUUUUCUUGUAACCUCUGAAUAUCCGCAGUGGGUGGCCAAUAUUGUGCAUGUUCCUAAGAAAGAUGGAAAAGUACGCAUCUGUGUUGAUUAUAGAGAUUUGAAUAAAGCUAGUCCAAAAGAUGAUUUUCCUCUGCCACACAUUGAUAUGUUGGUAGACAAUACAUCUAAAUUCAAAGUCUUUUCAUUUAUGGAUGGAUUUUCCAAUUAUAAUCAAAUCAAGAUGGCACCCGAAGAUAUGGAGAAGACCACAUUCAUUACACCCUGGAGAAUAUUCUGUUAUAGAGUGAUGCCUUUCGGUUUAAAGAAUGCUGAUGCAACGUACCAGAGAGCUAUGACCACUCUUUUUCAUGAUAUGAUGCAUAAAGAGAUUAAAAUUUAUGUUGAUGAUAUGAUUGCCAAGUCAAGUGAUGAAGAAGAGCAUGUUGAGCAUUAGUUAAAGUUAUUCCAGCGAUUGAGGAAGUACAAACUCCACUUGAAUCCCAAUAAGUGUACUUUUGGUGUUCGUUCUGGUAAGUUAUUGGACUUUAUUGUCAGUGAGAAGGGUAUUGAAGUUGAUCCUGCCAAGGUCAAAGCAAUACAAGAAAUGCCUGCGCCCAAAACUGAGAAGCAAGUCAGAGGAUUUCUCGGCCGCUUGAAUUAUAUCUCAAGAUUUAUAUCGCAUAUGACUGCCACAUGUGCGCCUAUUUUCAAGCUUCUUCAGAAAGAUCAGUCUUGUGAUUGGACCGAAGAUUACCAUAAAGCUUUUGAUAGUAUCAAAGAGUACUUGCUUGAGCCUCCUAUUUUGUCUCUGCUUGUUGAAGCAAGACCGUUGAUCAUGUAUUUGACUGUGUUGGAUGAUAGUAUGGAUUGUGUUCUUGGUCAGCAAGGUGAAUCGGGAAAGAAAGAAUAUGCAAUUUACUACCUCAGUAAGAAAUUCACCGACUGUGAGACUCGGUAUUCUAUGCUUGAAAAGACAUGUUGUGCAUUGACUUGGGCUGCUAAGCGUCUACGCCAAUAUAUGUUGAACCAUACCACUUGGUUGAUAUCCAAAAUGGAUCCAAUCAAGUAUAUCUUUGAGAAGCCUGCUUUAACUGGGAGGAUUUCCCGUUGGCAGAUGUUGUUAUCUGAGUAUGAUAUUGAAUAUCGAUCUCAGAAAGUUAUCAAGAGUAGUAUCUUAGCAGACCAAUUGGCUCACCAACCGAUUGAAGAUUACCAGUCAGUGCAGUAUGAUUUUCCUAACGAAGAGAUUUUGUACUUGAAAAUGAAAGAUUGUGAUGAACCGCUGCUUGAAGAAGGGCCAGAACCUGGUUCCCGUUGGGGCAUGGUAUUUGAUGGAGUUGUUAAUUCAUAUGUGUCAUACCCCAAUUUGGUCAGGGCAUUUCAAAAUUUUCAUAAAUUUGAUUUAAUUUUCAGUUUUCAUCAUAUCUACAGCAUAACACGCAUUUCAUCAUGAAUAACACAUAAAAUAUCAGUCGGAAUAAAUUCUUGAAAAUACAAACAAGUUGGUUAAAUCAUUCCUCAAGUACGGACAAAAUCAGCGGAUAAAAAAGUUUUGAAAUUAAACUUGCAGACGUCAGUAUUAUUAAUCUAUGGUUCACGUAGUUUAAUCUGGUGUGCUCGUUUUAUUUUUCGACGACUUUUUCAGUCGCAUUUUGAUCCAUCUGAGCCUUUUAACCGGUGAAAAUUUAUUUCAAAAUUUAAAGAAACGCUGUAUUUUUUCAAUAAGUAUAUUUCGUGCUGAUCAUUUUAGUGCGUCUGAUUUAAUUUUUUGAGCAAAUUUUUGCCCGACUUUUAUUCAUUUUUAGUCGUUUUAAUUUUACUCUUUUGCCAAAAUAUUCAGAUUAAAUAAAUAGAAUUUUCCAUGUCCUUAGUUUAUUUUUAUCACAUUAAUUUAAGGAGUUGUCAAUUUUAUUUGAUUUAAUUGAUUUAAAUGGUUUAAAUCAAUUAAAUCAUAUAGAAUGGGCGUUUUAGGCAUUUUAAAUUAUCUAACAACUUUUGUUUCUUUGUGUGUUUCCUUAAGUUAUAUUGGGAUCAUCGGUUCAAAUUUAUCAAUGACCCAUAAUGGCAAUCCUUCUCCAUUUCAUUUCAUCCAAUCAAAAAUAAAAUAAAAUUAAUUGAAUUAAAAAUGACAAAGAAAAUUAGAAAAUAAAAAUAUCUUGUUUCUCCCCAGUAAAGUUGAGCCACACGUCCGUUAUGGAUAAGGAUUAUAUUUUUUUUAACUAAAGAAAAUGAAAUACAACUCAAUAACCUCUGUCCACUAAUGAAUCUCUGUUGGUCUAACGGUAAGAAAGGAAAAAAAACAAAAAGGACAACUAGCCUCCACACUCUCUCAGAGACUCUCUCAUUUUCCAAUGGCUAUAGGUCACAGAAAAAUAAAAUAAAAAGGAAAAAGGGGAACACCGUUCAUGUUCUUUCCCACAACUCCAUUCACUCACGUAGAACGCCAAUCAACCACAAUAAGCCGCCGGAAAACAUUAACUCAUUACAAUCGCCGCCUCCAUAAAACCUCCUUCACACUCACCUCCGCUGCGAACCCGGACCACCGUCCCAUCCAACCUUCCGCCACGAAUCUAAUCCCCACCGUUAUCUUCCCACCAUCACAAAGUCCCCUCUCCAACUUCUCUGUCGCGGCUACAACACCACGACACCCCCCCGUUGCACCGUCGGUGGCAACCCCAAACCAUCCGCCGGCGAACCCUUAUCCGUCUGUCACCAAUUCCGACCACCGCAAAACCAUCUCACUUCGCUCAUUCCAUCUCCGUUCCUUCACCUGCGCAAACUAAGCGCCAUAGUCGCCCAACACACCUCUCCUUCUUCUUCUCUAAGUUCCGCCGGCAAACGAUUCUUCCGUUGGAAACACCAUCACCAUCAUAAAACUCUCCUCAUCAUGGAAUCACAGUCCAUUUCCUUCAUACACCCUCGCCGACAACGUCCAAAACAUUACUCCCUUUUACUACUUCAGAUCUACAAACUCAACCGUCGCCCGUGAAUCCUCCACCGCGACCCACCUUCAACUACCGCAUGAUCCUUUUUCCGACCGACCAACCCCAAGCUACACCAUUCAACAUCGUCAAACACAUGACGCCCAUCGCCGGCGGAAUAUUACAUCUACCUGCACCGUCAAGCCUCUCUCGUUACGGUAUUCUUGCGUCACCGUCAUUUUCCGUGUUUGGUUGGUUUUCCUGUCUUAUCUCUUUCUAUACUCGUUGUUCUAAUGAAUUUCAUGGAAUUGUAGCAUAUCUAUGAUGGUGUAUAUCGAUUAUGCCGGUUAUGUUUCAAUUUCAUCAUGUGACUUUUGUUGACUAUCAUGUUGUUGUGUUUGUUCAUAAGGAAGUUGGAAAAAGUAGCUAAGCACAUGCUUGUGUGGUUUAAUCUCUGUGUUUUUUUAUUAGGAUAUUAGAUUGUUGUGGAUCUUUUAAAUAUUGCAUGUAGUAAUAUAUUGAUUAAUUGGCCAAUAGAUUGUGAGAUAUUAAAAGUCUGUUACGGCUGAUUUUGGUUUGGUAUCUUGCCAAGAAUAUGUAAAUAAAAAGUUAAGUUAUAGCAUAUGAAUGGUGGUAAUCAUAAUUCUGAGUAGUAGUACAUAUAUUGUAAUUAUAUUUUGGUUAUAUCACAGUGUACAUAGAUUGUAAUUAUAAGUUGGUUAAAUUAUAGCAUAUGAACGGUGGUAGUCAUAAUUCUCAGUAGUAGUAUAUAUAUUGUAAUUAUAUUUUGGUUAUAUUACAGUGUACAUAGCUUGUAAUUAUAUUUUGGUUAUAUUAUAGCAUAUGAAUAGUAGUAAUCACAAUUCUGAGUUAAUUAAGUAUUAAUAUUUUAAUUGUAUUAACAAUUGAUUGCUAU
rnacentral:lncRNA from 1 species